UACGAAGGGGGCUAGCGUUGCUCGGAAUUACUGGGCGUAAAGGGCGCGUAGGUGGGUCGUUAAGUUAGAGGUGAAAGCCCAGGGCUCAACCCUGGAAUUGCCUUUAAUACUGUCGACCUUGAGUAUGGCAGAGGUGUGUGGAACUCCGAGUGUAGAGGUGAAAUUCGUAGAUAUUCGGAAGAACACCAGUGGCGAAGGCGACACACUGGGCCAUUACUGACGCUGAGGCGCGAAAGCGUGGGGAGCAAACAGG
rnacentral:rRNA from 1 species